rnacentral:rRNA from 1 species
UGGGGAAUUUUGGACAAUGGGCGAAAGCCUGAUCCAGCCAUGCCGCGUGAGUGAAGAAGGCCUUCGGGUUGUAAAGCUCUUUCAUCCGGAAAGAAAUCGCGCAGGAUAAUACUCUGCGUGGAUGACGGUACCGGAAGAAGAAGCACCGGCUAACUACGUGCCAGCAGCCGCGGUAAUACGUAGGGUGCGAGCGUUAAUCGGAAUUACUGGGCGUAAAGCGUGCGCAGGCGGUGAUGUAAGACAGAUGUGAAAUCCCCGGGCUCAACCUGGGAACUGCAUUUGUGACUGUAGAGCUAGAGUAGGGCAGGGGGGGAUGGAAUUCCGCGUGUAGCAGUGAAAUGCGUAGAUAUGCGGAGGAACACCGAUGGCGAAGGCAAUCCCCUGGGCCUGUACUGACGCUCAUGCACGAAAGCGUGGGGAGCAAAAA